GACGAACGCUGGCGGCGUGCCUAAUACAUGCAAGUAGAACGCUGAAGGAGGAGCUUGCUUCUCUGGAUGAGUUGCGAACGGGUGAGUAACGCGUAGGUAACCUGCCUGGUAGCGGGGGAUAACUAUUGGAAACGAUAGCUAAUACCGCAUAAUAGUAGAUGUUGCAUGACAUUUGCUUAAAAGGUGCAAUUGCAUCACUACCAGAUGGACCUGCGUUGUAUUAGCUAGUUGGUGAGGUAACGGCUCACCAAGGCGACGAUACAUAGCCGACCUGAGAGGGUGAUCGGCCACACUGGGACUGGGACACGGCCCAGACUCCUACGGGAGGGAGCAGGAGGGAAUCUUCGGCAAUGGACGGAAGGCUGACCGAGCAACGCCGCGGGAGUGAAGAAGGGUUUCGGAUCGUAAAGCUCUGUUGUAAGAGAAGAACGAGUGUGAGAGUGGAAAGUUCACACUGUGACGGUAUCUUAACAGAAAGGGACGGCUAACUACGUG
rnacentral:rRNA from 1 species